AUGUAAACAAAGAAGCAUGAGCAGAGUUAGCAUCACUGCUGUGUGGACUGAGCUAUAAAACGGCUGUAUUAUAGUAUUAGUGAGAAAUAUCAGGGCGAUAAAGUAACGAUGUGUUCAGUUGAGUAUCUGAGAGAGUUGAUCAGCGACAGACUAGCUGCUGCUGCUGGAGAAAUAUUCUCAGAGUUUGAAUAAAAACAUCGUCCAGUACCAGGAGGAGAUCGAUCGUCAGCACAGACUGCUGGAUGUCAUCUGGAAACCACACAUCCCCUUACAACCCAUUGAGCUCCCACAGUCUUAUGUCUGUGAGAAUGAGAAGACUGUUGUUGACUAUCAACCCCAUGACCAAGAGAGAAACUCCAUGGUGGACCAUGAGGACCCAGAGCCUCCACGGAUUAAAGAUCAGCAGGAGGAACUCUGCACUAGUCAGGACCAAUCAAACCCAGAGAUUUCUCAAAUUAAAAUGGAACAGGAAGAAUUGCGCACCAGUCUGGACCAAUUAAACCCAGGGUUACCACAAAUUAAAGUGGAACAGGAUGAACUCUGCUCCAGUCAGGAGGAAGAGUUGAUUGGAUUGAAACAGGAGACUGAUACCUUUGAGGUGACUCCUGCUGAUGAGGAAAGUGACCACAGUGAACCAAAACCAAACAGUGAUCAGCUCCUGUUUCACAUCUCUUGUGUAGCUGAGAGCCCAGAUCAGGAAGGAAGCAAGGAUGUAGACUCAGGAUCAACUAGAUGUAUCGAGCAGAAACCAAGACAUCAGAGUAACAACAGUCACAGUAAUGAUGUAGACAAUGCUCCAACAUCAGUGAGACAGUGUGAUAAUGACAAGGCAAGAAAAUCUGCAACAUGUGAGGUCUGUGGAAAAGGUUUUAGGCGUAAAUCAAAUUUAAUUAGACAUCACAGAACCCACGCAGGUGAGAAGCCUUAUUUUUGUGAAACCUGUGGGAAAAACUUCAGUUAGCGGUCCCAUUUGACUUACCACAUGAGACGUCACACAGGUGAGAAGCCGUAUGUUUGUAACAUUUGUGGAAAAAGAUUUUCUGGUUCAUCAGCACAUUAUAAGCACGUGGCAGUUCACAAAAUGGGAAAGCAAUAUUCUUGUGGAACCUGUGGAAAAAGCUUCAGUCAACGGUCCUAUUUGACUGCCCACAUGAGAUGUCACACAGGUGAGAAGCCAUAUUCUGGUGGAACCUGUGGAAAAAGCUUCAACUGUAGUCAUCAAUUAAAAGCCCACAUGAGAAUCCACACAGCUGAGAGGACAUGAUCCUGAAACAUCUGUGGAAAACAUAAUGUGAGAAUUAAGGUUGAAACAACAUGUAAGAAUUGGUACAGGUUAAAAGUAGAUGUUCUAGAUUUAAAGCAGCUUUAGUCUGUGCUUCAACAACAAUUGUGAGGAAGUAUGUAAGCAAUCCUUGAUAAUUAGACCAUAUGGAAUCUGGACUGUGGUGGUGGAGCAGCAGGCAGAAGAACCAAACUGAAUGUCUGGAUGGAUAUGGUAUUGGUACAGACUGCUACAUUUCUGCUAUCAUGACAUCCUUCAUCAGCAGAGCAGUGAUUGGAGAUAAUGUGAAGCUGUUUGGAACAUUUUCACUUUCUGCUGAGGGAACAUGGCUGUUCAGGUAUGAACAUACUGCUGGAAUCCACUCAGCUUGAACUCUGCUGUCUUUCAAGUAAAAGGAGGCAACGAGAUACAGAGACAUUGUGACAGUAGAACACAACAGUGUGUGUCACUGCAGCAGAGGAGAUCUGGACGUGAAAUAAAGUUGUAAUAAAAAGUCUA